AUGUUUGAGUAAUCGCUGCACAUUCUUUUUGUGUAGAGGAAAGUCCAUGCUCACACAGGCUGAGAUGCUUGUAGUGUUCGUGCUUGACGAAUUCAUAAGUCAAGGUAAUCCUUUUUAGGAUUAACGGCAGGGAAGAUGCCUAAGUCCAACGGAUAUGGUAUCGCAACCUUGAAAGUGCCACAGUGACGUAGUCAGGCGGGAAACCGCCUGAGUGGAACGAGGUAAACCCCGCGAGUGAGCAACCCAAAUAUUGGUAGGGGCAUCCUUCAUUAGGGAAUUCAACCGAAAGAGGGCCAAGCUUUUGCUUGGAGAUAGAUGAUUACUACUUGCGUACGAGGUUGACCACCGAUGGCAGUACAAUAGUACAGAACAUGGCUUACAAAA
rnacentral:RNase_P_RNA from 1 species